AAAGAUCUGAUUGGCUUGUUUUUGUCACGUUUUCUGAUCUAAUCAGCCCAGACCAUCAAGUACAAGUCUAACAUGUGAGACAGCUGGUUUUCCUCCUCCUGAUCAGACAUGUUAGGCAACUCAGCUAGGCCACCUGACCGAACAGCUGAGACAGCCAGGUUAAAUCAAACACUCCUGGAAGGGAAGGAACAGCCUCCUCCAGUCACUGCCUUCACCGCCACUCUGCCUCCAGUCAGCUGGCUUCUCCAUCCAGUCCCUCCCUGGCGGUUCCCUGCUCCAGCCUGCUUCAGCUCUCACCUUCCUGCGCUUCAGUGCUUCCCCUGCGGAUCCCUCAGCCCUGGUCUCCCCGAGCUCUCUGUCCCCCGUUCCAGUCUCCCAGUCUUCCCACUUCCCCAUUCACUUCCCCAUUUUUCCCUAAUAAAAUAACUUUUGCUGA